rnacentral:sRNA from 1 species
CCUUUGGUGUCUAAUGUUAACCCUGGAGUCACAAUCGAAGGAUAAUAAAAAGAAUCACCAAAAUAUCUGGCUAAUGCCUGCUUCGGAAAUGGAGAAGAGUGGCAGUUGCAUUGGAAACCUGAUUAGAAUGGAACAUGUAAAGAUAGUUUGUGAUGGGCAAUAUUUACAUAAUUUCCAACAUAAACAUGGUGCCAUACCUGUCACAAAUCUAAUGGCAGGUGACAGAGUUAUUGUAAGUGGAGAAGAAAGGUCACUGUUUGCUUUGUCUAGAGGAUAUGUGAAGGAGAUUAACAUGACAACAGUAACUUGUUUAUUAGACAGGUAAUGAAAUGUUACUUUUUUUGAUAACAGCUUUAUUGAUAUAUAAUUCACAUCUGUGUAGUUCAUCCAUUUAAAAUGUACAAUUCACUGGUUUUUAGUAUAUUCACAGCGUUGUGCAGCCAUCAUCACAAUCAACUUUGAGUAUUUUCAUCACCCC